ACAGGGAUUGCCCUAGUAACGGCGAGUGAAGCGGCAACAGCUCAAAUUUGAAAUCUGGCGUCUUUGGCGUCCGAGUUGUAAUUUGCAGAGGGCGCUUUGGCAUUGGCAGCGGUCCAAGUUCCUUGGAACAGGACGUCACAGAGGGUGAGAAUCCCGUACGUGGUCGCUAGCCUUUACCGUGUAAAGCCCCUUCGACGAGUCGAGUUGUUUGGGAAUGCAGCUCUAAAUGGGAGGUAAAUUUCUUCUAAAGCUAAAUACUGGCCAGAGACCGAUAGCGCACAAGUAGAGUGAUCGAAAGAUGAAAAGCACUUUGGAAAGAGAGUUAAAAAGCACGUGAAAUUGUUGAAAGGGAAGCGCUUGCAGCCAGACUUGCCUGUAGUUGCUCAUCCGGGUUUUUACCCGGUGCACUCUUCUAUAGGCAGGCCAGCAUCAGUUUGGGCGGUUGGAUAAAGGUCUCUGUCAUGUACCUCCUUUCGGGGAGAUCUUAUAGGGGAGACGACAUGCAACCAGCCUGGACUGAGGUCCGCGCAUCUGCUAGGAUGCUGGCGUAAUGGCUGUAAGCGGCCCGUCUUGAAACACGGACCAAGGAGUCUAACAUCUAUGCGAGUGUUUGGGUGUCAAGCCCGAACGCGUAAUGAAAGUGAACGGAGGUGGGAACCUUUCGGGGUGCACCAUCGACCGAUCCUGAUGUCUUCGGAUGGAUUUGAGUAAGAGCAUAGCUGUUGGGACCCGAAAGAUGGUGAACUAUGCUUGAAUAGGGUGAAGCCAGAGGAAACUCUGGUGGAGGCUCGCAGCGGUUCUGACGUGCAAAUCGAUCGUCAAAUUUGGGCAUAGGGGCGAAAGACUAAUCGAACUAUCUAGUAGCUGGUUCCUGCC
rnacentral:rRNA from 1 species